AAGUGCCCCUUUAAUUAGCAGUGUGUGUCCAAGCUUCCCCGAGGGCAGCAGGGAGGUACACGGACAAGAGGGAACCACAGCGCCAGCUUUGAGGGGUAACGCUGAUUGUCAGUCUGGCUCCAGCUAAAGCAGCAAGUCGUCUCUCCCUUUAUGGAAGCAGUAAUCACAGAGGUUCCCUCCUGGUUUUCACCAUGCUGGCAACAAACUCCGGAACGGAUUCAUCACACGGACUCUCACACAUAUGACAGAAAACUGAGGCUGAUUAAAGACAGUGACGGUAUACUUAGCACUGAUGCUACGUAACCAACAUUAGCCAAGGAGGCAGUGACGCGUAGGCUUGAGCGACCAAUGGAGCCAAGUGGGAUAAAAUCUCAUCAUUAUGAAAAUUACAGCUUUUCUGCUCAAUCAGGCGGUGCCUCAUUUUGUGAUGGAUAAAAUAAAUGGCUUUGGGGAGGCCACUGCCACAGGUUAUCAUGUGGCAGACAUAAAUUGUGAUUGUGAAAAUCAGCUUUUUAAGAAUAAAAGUUGUGAAAAUGUCA